rnacentral:tRNA from 1 species
GGGGCGCUAGCUCAACUGGUAGAGCAGCUGACUCUUAAUCAGCCGGUUCCGGGUUCGAGUCCCGGGCGCCUCA